rnacentral:rRNA from 1 species
AGUGAACGCUGGCGGUAGGCCUAACACAUGCAAGUCGAACGGCAGCACAGUAAGAGCUUGCUCUUACGGGUGGCGAGUGGCGGACGGGUGAGGAAUACAUCGGAAUCUACUUUUUCGUGGGGGAUAACGUAGGGAAACUUACGCUAAUACCGCAUACGCCCUACGGGUGAAAGCAGGGGAUCUUCGGACCUUGCGCGAUUGAAUGAGCCGAUGUCGGAUUAGCUAGUUGGCGGGGUAAAGGCCCACCAAGGCGACGAUCCGUAGCUGGUCUGAGAGGAUGAUCAGCCACACUGGAACUGAGACACGGUCCAGACUACUACGGGAGGCAGCAGUGGGGAAUAUUGGACAAUGGGCGCAAGCCUGAUCCAGCCAUACCGCGUGGGUGAAGAAGGCCUUCGGGUUGUAAAGCCCUUUUGUUGGGAAAGAAAAGCAGCAGGUUAAGACCCCGCUGUUCUGACGGUACCCAAAGAAUAAGCACCGGCUAACUUCGUG